GAACGCUGGCGGCGUGCCUAACACAUGCAAGUCGAACGUGAUUUCUAUACUUGUAUAGAAUGAAAGUGGCGAACGGGUGAGUAACACGUAGGUGACCUGCCCCUUGGCGGGGGAUAACUCUGGGAAACCAGAGCUAAUACCCCAGAUGUCCAGAUCGUUAGCGGGUCUAGACUAAAGCGUUAGUGACAAGGGAGGGGCCUGCGGGCUAUCAGCUAGUUGGUGGGGUAAAAGCCUACCAAGGCGAAGACGGCUAGGGGGCGUGAGAGCGCGAUCCCCCACAAGGGAACUGAGAAACGGUCCCUACUCCUACGGGAGGCAGCAGUGAGGAAUAUUGAGCAAUGGGCGCAAGCCUGACUCAGCAACGCCGCGCGGAUGAAGAAGGCCUUCGGGUUGUAAAAUCCUUUUCUGCGGGACGAUGAUGACGGUACCGCAGGAACAAGUUCCGGCUAACUACGUGCCAGCAGCCGCGGUAAAACGUAGGGGACGAGCGCUAUCCGGAUUUACUGGGCGUAAAGCGCCCGUAGGCGGCCUGGCAAGUUGGCUGUGAAAGCUCCCGGCUUAACUGGGAGAGGUCAGUCAAAACUGUGAGGCUGGAGGCUGAAAUAGGAGAGCGGAAUUCCCGGUGUAGUGGUGGAAUGCGUAGAGAUCGGGAGGAACACCAGUGGCGAAAGCGGCUCUCUGGUUCAGCCCUGACGCUGAGGGGCGAAAGCGUGGGGAGCGAACGGGAUUAGAUACCCCGGUAGUCCACGCUGUAAACGAUGGAUACUAGGUGUAGGCGGUCAUUAACCCCGUCUGUGCCGAAGCCAACGCGUUAAGUAUCCCGCCUGGGGAGUACGGCCGCAAGGUUAAAACUCAAAGGAAUUGACGGGGGCCCGCACAAGCAGCGGAGCGUGUGGUUUAAUUCGAUGGUACGCGAAGAACCUUACCUGGGUUUGACAUAACCGUAGUAGCAAGGUGAAAGCCGAGCGACCCUUCGGGGAGCGGUUACAGGUGCUGCAUGGCUGUCGUCAGCUCGUGUCGUGAGAUGUUGGGUUAAGUCCCGCAACGAGCGCAACCCCCGUCGUUAGUUACAAGUGUCUAACGAGACUGCUGGUAUCAAACCGGAGGAAGGUGGGGAUGACGUCAAGUCAGCAUGGUCUUUAUGUCCAGGGCUACACACACGCUACAAUGGCCGGUACAACAGGUUGCUACCGCGUAAGCGGAUGCUAAUCCCCAAAGCCGGUCUCAGUUCAGAUUGUCGUCUGCAACCCGA
rnacentral:rRNA from 1 species